UACGUAGGGUGCGAGCGUUGUCCGGAAUUAUUGGGCGUAAAGAGCUUGUAGGCGGUUUGUCGCGUCUGCUGUGAAAAUCCGGGGCUCAACCCCGGACUUGCAGUGGGUACGGGCAGACUGGAGUACUGCAGGGGAGACUGGAAUUCCUGGUGUAGCGGUGGAAUGCGCAGAUAUCAGGAGGAACACCGGUGGCGAAGGCGGCUUUCUGGACCAAUACUGACGCUGAGACGCGAAAGCGUGGGGAGCAAACAGG
rnacentral:rRNA from 1 species